rnacentral:lncRNA from 1 species
GAUGACCCCACACUCAUCGCUAGAGAUCGAACUUCAGACUCCCUCCAAAACCACUGAACCCCUCAACACACCGAAAGAGAUUACGAUAUACCCCCUUAGAGGGAGCCGGAACAGGAUAACUCCCUCCACCAUCACAAAGACACAGAGGAGGAGGAACUAUCCAACACCCAGGGAGAGAGAACGAGUGACCUCAGUCGAACACAGCCAGAAAGAGGAGGUGGAAGAGGUGUUAGAUAGAGGAUGUGAGCAAGAAAAAGCAGAAGGCUUCUGGUCAGCCAAAUGGCAGGCAGAGGGAGAGGUCAUAGUGAUUCACACCCACAGAGAGAAAGACAACCCACACAACCUCUUGGUUGAGAUGAACCACACAGCGUUAGAGGCAGAGGGCUUUCAGCGCUAGCCAGUCAGCCUGCCUGCUCUGAUCCUCAAGUCAAUUGUAUUUAAAUUCAUGUUCAUUAAAGAUUUUUAAUCAGGAAUAGAAAAGUCCCAUUUACUUAAUGAUCAUUUUUCACUGUCUUCAACCCUUAGGAACCAGGGUUAGUCUGGGUCACCCUUUUACUGGGCAAACACAACUUGCAUAUCAUCAUAGACUAGGCCGAAACGUUAAUCUUUUAACCUUGCCUGAAUAAAACAAUGCAUUUUUUUUAUAGUGAGCAAGAGUUGCGCUUUUUCCUUUUCUAUGAUGAUGAUCAUAUUUUUGGUUGCACCUCAACUCAACGUUGGUUGAGCGCCCUCUGUUUUUUUGUUGUCAAAUAAUACAUAUAUUUUUUAAUGUACAAAGUAAAUUAUUCAAAGCAUUAAAAUUGUGAUGUUUCCCACUUAUUUACACAACCUAAUCCACACUUACAAAGUGAAAGUUUAUAGAAAUUCUGAAAUUAAGUAGUAAACAGAAGAAAAGCAGAAUUGAGUCCAAUUAUAAUGCAAAUAAUUUAAUGGUCUAUGGUUCAAUCCCAUUUCUGAAGGUCUGAUGAAUAAUUAAUAUUGUUCCUCCUCUUCCUUGUGGCAGGCGCAGCAGCACACUGCCCUCCAAAGCCUGCAAAAUAAUCGCUGGACUGCCCCUUUCCUAGCUCUGCAUGGAACAUCCAGUGUCACGUCCUUGGUGACGUGUGGGGUGACAUCCGGGAUGACCACAGCAACAUCCUCUGGAAAGGGAAAAAAGAGGAUCAGGAUGUAAACAAAUGCAAACCGUAGCUUCUAAACACUGGCCAGUUGAAAGGUUCUGCUAAGAUGUCAUGACAAACGGCACCUGUCAGAGUGCUCUCUAAGUGUUACUCACCUGCUUGGAUGUCAGCUGGCAGAGUGUCGAAGACGGCCAUCGUGAGAGUCCUUUCUUCAGGUGUGACAUGCUCAAUCGAUCCUAUUUAUUUGUACUGAAAUUUGAUCUUUUUUUUUCUCUGCUGCUACUCGUGUUUUACAGAAACACGUUUGAGUGGGUUUUCUACAGUCUGGCGCAUGUUGACACAAGAUGGAGAAUGCAUAUGCUGCAAACCAGCACAACUAUCAGGCAUCAACUAUAGACGAGUUUCACUCACUACUGCAGUUUGGAGUUAGGUUGAUGUUAGAGGCUACUGGAGGAAGUUAUGGGGCAUACUUGAACUCUUUAAGGGAACAUGAACCUUUCUACUCCUGCAAAUUAUGACUAAUAACCCUAAUCAAAUUCUACGAGAUGGGUUUUUGAAUGCAGUACUGUAUUUUCAUUGAAAUGGCAGAUUUGUAUGAUUUCACACAAAAAAAAUGUAUGUAAUGCUUCCCACAAAGAAAUUAUUUUACUAUUUUGUUUCAAAUGGUCCCUCUGGCAUGCAUAUUUCUGUAUGAUUUAACACAUGUUUGAAUCCCACUUCCUUGAUAUUUUUAAGUUAAUUUUAGUCCUCCUCCUUGCAUGUUUUGUUCCAUACCUGUGCCUUGGAGAAAACAACUAUAGCCCUCCAAGUCUAAUACGCUAUACACAACAGCAGCCUACAGUGUUAACUUAUUGAGAAUGUAUAUCAUUGUAUUUAACAUUCAAACCUCUUUUGAACUCUUCAGAUCUUAACCGGAUCAAACUGGAAUGUUAAUAUAUUACCCUAAGUCAAACUGGUUUUGGUGUCUUAGACACAAAAGGUUGUUUUCUCCUCAUAGUAAAAACACUGUUUCAUGGUUUGGAUUAAAAACACUGGGUAUUUGUUACGUAGAACUUUGUGUUUUUUGGGGGGGAAAGCAAUACUUAGCUCUACUGCUGUCUAUGUAGAGGCCUAGUUAGAAUUGUAUUGCAAUGACAGGUGAAGUGCUUGUUGAAAUCAUGCUGCCUUGCUGCUCAUUCCUUAAAGUACUUAUACCAACGAAUACCUGUUUGUCUGUAGCCAUAGCUGUUCUUAACCUGUUCAACUCUGACGCCCUCUGGUGGCAUUUUAUAAACGAUGCAUAAUAUUGUAUACUGCCCUCAUAAAGUACAUUUCGGUCCUUACAGAAACAUGCUUAGGGAAAGGGGAAUACCUAGUCAGUUGUACAACUGAAUGUAUUCAAC